rnacentral:rRNA from 1 species
GACGAACGCUGGCGGCGUGCUUAACACAUGCAAGUCGAACGGAAAGGCCCUGCUUUUGUGGGGUGCUCGAGUGGCGAACGGGUGAGUAACACGUGAGUAACCUGCCCUUGACUUUGGGAUAACUUCAGGAAACUGGGGCUAAUACCGGAUAGGAGCUCCUGCUGCAUGGUGGGGGUUGGAAAGUUUCGGCGGUUGGGGAUGGACUCGCGGCUUAUCAGCUUGUUGGUGGGGUAGUGGCUUACCAAGGCUUUGACGGGUAGCCGGACUGAGAGGGUGACCGGCCACAUUGGGACUGAGAUACGGCCCAGGCUCCUACGGGAGGCAGCAGUGGGGAAUAUUGCACAAUGGGCGGAAGCCUGAUGCAGCAACGCCGCGUGCGGGAUGACGGCCUUCGGGUUGUAAACCGCUUUCGCCUGUGACGAAGCGUGAGUGACGGUAAUGGGUAAAGAAGCACCGGCUAACUACGUG